AAAUUUAAUAUAAUUUCAUUAAAUUAAUUAUUAGAUAAAUAAAUGAUAAAAUACAUAUUUAGUUGGGAGGAUUGUUAAAUAUAAUUAACUUUAAUUAAAUUAAAAUAUAAGUUAAUAAAAUAAAGGAAUGAUUAAUAAAUUAAAAAAGAAUUAAUUACCUUAGGGAUAACAGCGUAAUACUUUUGGAGAGUUCAUAUUAAUAUAAGUGAUUGC
rnacentral:rRNA from 1 species